GACGUAGGGCGCGAGCGUUGUCCGGAUUUAUUGGGCGUAAGGAGCUCGUAGGCGGCUUGUUACGUCGGCUGUGAAAUCCCGCGGCUCAACUGCGGGUCUGCAGCCGAUACGGGCAGGCUAGAGUUCGGUAGGGGAGACUGGAAUUCCUGGUGUAGCGGUGAAAUGCGCAGAUAUCAGGAGGAACACCGGUGGCGAAGGCGGGUCUCUGGGCCGAUACUGACGCUGAGGAGCGAAAGCGUGGGGAGCGAACAGG
rnacentral:rRNA from 1 species